UGCGAACGCUGGCGGCAGGCUUAGCACAUGCAAGUCGAACGGGCACUUCGGUGCUAGUGGCAGACGGGUGAGUAACACGUGGGAACGUACCUUUCGGUUCGGAAUAAUACAGGGAAACUUGUACUAAUACCGGAUACGCCCUUUUGGAGAAAGAUUUAUCGCCGAUUGAUCGGCCCGCGUCUGAUUAGCUAGUUGGUGAGGUAAUGGCUCACCAAGGCGACGAUCAAUAGCUGGUCUGAGAGGAUGAUCAGCCACACUGGGACUGAGACACGGCCCAGACUCCUACGGGAGGCAGCAGUGGGGAAUAUUGGACAAUGGGCGCAAGCCUGAUCCAGCCAUGCCGCGUGAGUGAUGAAGGCCUUAGGGUUGUAAAGCUCUUUUGUCCGGGAAGAUAAUGACUGUACCGGAAGAAUAAGCCCCGGCUAACUUCGUGCCAGCCGCCGCCGUAAAAC
rnacentral:rRNA from 1 species